UCUCCGUAGGUGAACCUGCGGAGGGAUCAUUACAGAGUUCAUGCCCUACCGGGUAGAUCUCCCACCCUAUGUUAUUAUUACUUUGUUGCUUUGGCGGGCCGUUAGGCUCCGGCCCGACUACCGGCCCCGGCUGGUAAGCGCCCGCCAGAGGACCCAAAACCCUGAAUAUUAGUGUCGUCUGAGUCCUAUAUAAUAGUUAAAACUUUCAACAACGGAUCUCUUGGUUCUG
rnacentral:misc_RNA from 1 species